rnacentral:rRNA from 1 species
AUGAAGUUGUUUAAUGCGGUAAAUUUUGUUAUCCAAUAUAUGGCUUCAGAUGGAUCAGUAGUGGGAUCAAUACAUGAUGAUGCUGACACUUCUUUCAGCUAUUUGUGCUCGUUCGAGUUUGUCUUUAUCUUAUGUAUGAUGAGGGAGAUAUUAGGGAUAACUGAAGGACUUGGUCAGGCUUUACAAAAGAGGUCACAAGACAUUGUAAAUGUUGUUCGUCUAGUGUUUGCAACAAAAGAGUGUCUUCGUCACUUGAGAUCGGACAAUGGCUGGGAGGAAUUCUUUUGCAUAGUUGUUGAAUUUUGUGUGAAUCAUGGCACUGAAAUUCCAGACAUGAAGGAAACUUAUAUCAUGCGUGGUGACCGUGCACGGCAUCAGCCUGAUCAUUUCACUAAGGAGCAAUAUUUUCGAGUCGAGAUAUUCCGUGCAACUCUUGACAGCCAACUACAUGAAUUGGAUCGCAGGUUCAAUGAGAAGAUGAUGGAUCUUCUGUCCACCAGUGCCACAUUAAUUCCUAGAAAUAAAUUUAAAUCUUUUAAAGGCAGUGAUAUAUGUGAGUUGGUGAAGAAGUAUUACCCAGUAGAUUUUAGUCAACAAGACGUGUAUGGCUUGGAAAACCAACUAAAACUCUUUGUUCCUGAUGCUUCCAGUGAUGUAGAGUUGAAAAAUAUAUCAACAUUGACUGACCUUUGCCAAAUCCUUGUUGAGACUAGAAGAGAUAGAAUCUAUCAUCUAAUUGACAGGCUACUCCGUCUACUUGUUACUCUUCCAGUUUCUACAGCUAGUGCUGAACGAGCAUUUUCCAGUUUGAAGAUCAUCAAGACAAGGCUGCGUAAUACGAUGGAAGAUGAGAAUCUUGCCAAUAAUUUGGUUGUUCACAUAGAGCAUGAAAUCGCAGAGAAAUACACGUUUGAGGACAUUUUAGCAGAAUUCAAGAGCAUAAGUGACCGAAAAGCUGAUCUGUAG